GAUUAACUAAGCGAGGGAACAGUUAAGAAAAUACAAAGACUUCACCUUUUUACUUGUUUUUGUCAACCCAAAGACUUCACCUUUAGAGGCACUGGAAAAGAAAAAGCAAAAAUUCGAGGACUUACUACUUUAUCUUCAUCUUCAUCUUCUUCUUGUUGUUCUAUGAGAAAGAAGAAAAAGCAAAAACUUGGUCAUUCUUUGUCUCUCACACAAAUCAUAAAAAAAUCCAGAAAUAAUCCAACUCUUUUGUCGCUCGGCCCGAAGCUUUUGGUUUUUGUUUUGAUUUUCUCAAUCUGGGCACAUCAAUGGGGGAAGAAAGUUUCUAACUUUACAAAGAAGACAGAGUGGUGUGUUUUGAAUUUGAUGAUUGGGUGUUUUAAAGACGCAACAUAUGUUUUGAUGAGGGUUUUGCUUUGUAAGAUCCAGUGCCCUUCUUUCAUUUGUUUCUGUAAGCCUUCUCCUCAUAUCUACGCAUCUGGUUCUCUUAAAUUGGAGAACGCUCCUUCUUCUCAAGUGUCUUCUUCUACUACUGCGGUUGUCGAUCACGAUGAUGAUGAUGAUGAUGAUGAUGAUGAUGCACAUGUAGAAGAAGAAGAAGAGGUUGUUGAUCAUGUGGAUGAUGGUUUGUUGACUGAGGUUAGAGGAGAAGAUUGUGCUCUUGUUGAGGUUAAAAAAGAAGAAGAGGAAGAAGAAGGUCAUGGUAAUGGGGAAAUCUUGAAGAGCAGUCUCAGAAAGGAGGUUUUAGAUUCAGCUGAUGGUGGUGUGAGAAGGGAGAAGAAGAAAGUACAGUGGGUGGAUUUGAUGGGGAAAGAACUCGCUGAGAUCCGAGAAUUCGAGUCUAGUGAAGAAGAAGAUACAAGAUAUGAUGGCGAUCAAAGCUGUGUUUGUGUUAUUCUGUGAUCAAUUCGGCUUAGUUUUACGCGGAGAUAUGGCCAUGGUGAAAAGUGAAGAAGCUUUCUUGAGAAUUGUCUCUGUUCAGUUUGCGGCUUUGGAUUUAGAAUCCAUCUACAUUGAGAUUCAAGAAGCUUUUAAAUUUAAAAUCACCAUGUGCAUUACUUUCUGAGCACCACAGUUUCUUAAAUCCGUAGCUUCCCUACAUACAUAACAAACCAAAGAUGGUUCUAAGUUCGCUCAGCUUUAACAGAUCUUUGUCUUUACCAUAUAUAUACUGGAACUACCAUAUCUAAUCAGAAUUGCUUCUUACCAUGCUUA